rnacentral:rRNA from 1 species
GAUGAACGCUGGCGGCGUGCCUAAUACAUGCAAGUCGAGCGAACGGACGAGAUGCUUGCUUCUCUGAUGUUAGCGGCGGACGUGUGAGUAACACGUGGAUAACCUACCUAUAAGACUGGGAUAACUUCGGGAAACCGUAGCUAACACCGGAUAAUAUUUUGAACCGCAUGGUUCAAAAGUGAAAGACGGUCUUUCUGUCACUUAUAGAUGGAUCUGCGCUGCAUUAGCUAGUUGGUAAGGUAACGGCUUACCAAGGCAACGAUGCAUAGCCGACCGCAGAGAGUGAUCGGCCACACUAGAGCUGAGACAGGGACCAGACUCCUACGGGAGGCAGCAGUCGGGGACCUGCAGCAGUAGGGGCAAACCUGACGCAACGAGCGCGAGGGAGUUAUGAAGGUGUUCAGAGCGGAAAAACAUGUUAUUGGGGGAAAACCUAUGUGUAAGUAAAUGUGCACAUCUUGACGGUACCGAAUCAAAAAGCCCCGGCUAACUACGUG